ensembl:lincRNA
CUUAUUUAGGUCCUGGAUCCAAGAUUAUUUAAGAGGAGAGUUGGGUAUCACCCUGAAGCUUCCUGAUUGUCACCGCUCUGCUUGUGUACAGGGACGUUUGGGUGAUCUUAAGUUCCUCCUUAGAGGUGGCUUCCACAGGGGCAUGGAGGGAGCUCGAGCAGAAGCGGGCUCAGUUGUGAAACUCCUUCAUUACUCAAGACACAGCAUUUCUCAUUAUAAGCCAAAUGGGAGGCCACUCAGUGCAAGGACUAACGGGUGCACAGGACAUCAGGAAGCAUUCCACAAACUGAAUUCUAAGUCCCAUGCGAAUGACAUUUCCAGCGUGCGGCUCAGUGUACUUGUCUUUGGAGUUUCCCAAGUGGCUCAGUGAGUAAAGAAUCCGCCUGCAAUGCUGGAGACACAGAAGAUGCAGGUUUGAUUCCUGGUCAGGAAGAUCCCCUGGAGGAGGGCAUGGCAACCCUCUCCAGUAUUCUUGCCUGGAGAAUCCCAUGGACAGAGGAGCCUGGCGGGCUGCAGUCCACGGGGUCGCCAAGAGUCAGACAAAACUGAAGCGACUGGGCAUGUUACACGCGUACUUGUCUUUGUCCUCUAGUCGUCUCUGGUAAAAUGCCCAGAAAGUGUGAAAGUGUUAGCUGCUCAGCCAUGUCUGACUUUCUGUGACACCAUGGGCUGUAGCCUGCAGGCUCCUCUGUUCAUGGAACUCUCCAGGCAAAAAUACCGGUGUGCCCUAAACUUGAAUUAAUGGGUCUAUGUCCAUGGAACUCUCCAGGCAAAAAUACUGGUGUGCCCUAAACUUAAAUUAAUGGGUCUGUUUGUUUCUUUUUUGUUUGUUUUUCGUAUAUUUUUUUUUGUUUUUUAAUACUUUUUAUUGCAGUAUAGCCAAUUAACUAACAAUGUUGUGAUAGUUUUAGGUGAACAGCAAAGGAACUCAGCCUUAUACUUAUUUAUUUGUUAAUCUGAACAAAAACACACCAUGUGCCCUGCAUUUCUAGAUUCUGUAUUCUCUGGCACAUUUAUCAUAACUUUUUCAGAUUGAUGAUCAGACCCCUUACUUUUUUAAGGAACUUAACCUUACAAAGUGUCUGGAUGUUGACUGGAUUUAUUGAACAAAAUAUGUAAAAAUAUAUCCAAACUAGUGUACAAACCCAAGCUUCUUGUGUGUUUCCCAGCAUUCCCUGUGAGUCCUGACAACCUUACAAAGUGUCUGGAUGUUGACUGGAUAUAUUGAACAAAAUAUGUAAAAAUACAUCUAAACUAGUGUGCAAACCCAAGCUUCUUGUGUGUUUCCCAGUGUUCCCUGUGAGUCCUGAUGCUGCUCCCAGCCUUGCUCCCCUGAUGAAGGGUGUUUGUUGUCUCCCUGAGGCCGCACCAUCUCUUACGUCACACAUCUUUGGGAAAUACUGUGCGUGGGGAGAAAUGUUGGAUUUAGGGACCUAAGGUGGUGGUGUACUAAGACGGGGCUCUUCUCUGGGGUAUUGACUCAGCCGCUUCACUCUCUUCCUCUGAAAUGGCCAGAAAAGUGUUUUCACACUGUAAUGAAGAAUGUUCACUGCAGGUUGUUUUGUGAGGUUGACAGACCCCAAUACUCAGCUUUCAGCCUCAUCUUAACAAGGAGGGAUUCCACUAAAGCGAGCCUGAUCAAGCUCUUACGCUGUAUCUACUCAGAAUUUAAGUUGCUUUUAAUCUCAGUUCCAAAGAAUCCACGGGGGAGAAUUAGUUGCUACCUGUAGAAAUAGAGUGUCAGGGUCUGAACCAGGUAGUCUGAACCAAGAGAGAUUUUGCCUUAAUUUCCAGGGAGUGUUAGCUGCGUGGAAGUCGGGGCCAGAGUGGGUGGACCUGUAGAAGAUGGAUGAGGCAGGUGAGCGUCAUUGAAUAAGCUGGUUAAAAAUUAAACUAACCAACGUGUCCUGGAGAGAAGAAUGCAUGUACUUACCCCAAUGGCUGUGAUUUCGUUGGCAUCGGCCUUAUCUGAUGUUUUGCUCUUGCUUGCCAUCCCUAUGCUAAUCCACAAAACUCAUGCCCUUCUCUCUUUUCUCCCAGUGAAAAAUUACUUGCUUAGAAAAUAGAUGACUUCAUUCAGGCUGCUCUGUAGUAGAAGUCUCAGUUAGAUAUAUUUGGGGGGAAUAUAUUAGGUACAAAACACGAGAUCUUCUUUCUUCAAUGAGCAUCACAUCAUUAUGCGUUGGCAUUUUCUCCUGACAAAGGGGUCAAUAUAAAUUGAAAUAUUUGCCCCCUCCCAAAAAAGAGUGGAGGUGAAACUAGGAAUUGCCCAAAUCCAUAGCCUGAAACUUGCUAUCUACAGCUUGGUUGAUGAGAAGAGCAUAAAUCUCUGAAAUUAGUUUAUCAAAAUAUUAAUCUCCUGGAGCAUGGGAUCGUUUGGAGAAUUAUGCCAAUGUUGUGCUGGUAGAUAGUACAGUCAGGCAAAGGUGAUGUUAACUGAAGUAAAGUUUGAUUUGUUUUGUAGAAUCUCUGUGAAAGGCAGCUGUUACUGUGAGAAAAGCGGAGUUUUAAACAUUUACGUUAGAAUCCUGGCUCUCAGUCAGUGUCACCUUGGGCAGAGGAUCAAGCCUUUCUUAGCUCCACUGUGCAUAUCAAACUGGCAUUAAAAAGCAGACUUU